CCGCUCGCCUUCUUAAAGAGAAACGAAGCAGGUGCUAGUUGGAGGGCAGGAGUCACCGGGUUGGCAAGCCUGUGGGGGCUCGGUGUGAGGCGCCAGUCCUCUCUCUACCAAUUUCCCAUGAGACAAACUGAUGAUUAAGAAGACAAACGCACUCUGUCUUGUUCCUACUGAAAGGAGCUGUGUCGAGCACUCCGUCUCCUUCCUUCUGGAUGAAAGAGAUCUGGCAUCCUGGAAGUCUCCAGUGCACAGCUUCGGCCUGUGUGGUUUGGAGAGUUGGGAAGUUUAUCCGUCCAUCCUGCUGCUUGGAUGCCAGCCACGCAGGAGUCUCUCAUACAACCUUUCUGAGUUUUUCUUUUUACCCAUUUCUCAUCUCAAAUAACAAAUUCCUAAAGGCAUAAUUUCAAAGAAGUUGCUCAUCAGUUUAGGGGACCUGGGCCAACCUUCCCAACCUUCCCUUGUGCCCAUUCAUUCAUUCAUUCAUUCAGAAUGCAUAUGUUGUGUGUCCAUAUGCUGCAUAUUAAUAAUAGCUCCUUUCUUCAGUAAGUUGGGGCUAGCUCAUUCCUGCGCAGCAAAGCUUCAUGGUUAAUUCUUGUUAUUCUUACUCUGUAGUGAGAAAACUGGAGCUCCCAGAAGAUGCCUAUCAUAGCACAAGUAGACAGGAACCUGGGAACAUGCAUGAGACUGCAACUCCCAGCUACUCUGACAAUCAAAGCCCUGCGUUACCUUCCUGCACCUGUCACAUGGAAGCAUGAUGAGAGGAUGAAGCGGACAGGGUAUCCCUGUGUGGUCUGGGCAGUAUUAAAAGGCUCUUCAGACCAGACUGGCUUGAAUUUGGAGAUUUGUCUGCUUCUAUAUGGAAUUACAGACAUGAACCACCACCACCCUGGAAUUGACUUCUUAAGUCAAGUACUGAUCCUGGUCUAUUAUCCCUCGGCUCUAGCAUGGGACCUACUAGAAAGGUAAGUACUUACUUAACGAAUGAGUCGUGAAAAAAUAUAUAUGUACAUGUUUAUAUAUACUUAAAUUUGUUUAUUUACAUAUCUCUCGG
rnacentral:lncRNA from 1 species